rnacentral:rRNA from 1 species
ACACUCCUGCGGGAGGCAGCAGUGGGGAAUUUUGGACAAUGGGCGAAAGCCUGAUCCAGCAAUGCCGCGUGAGUGAAGAAGGCCUUCGGGUUGUAAAGCUCUUUUGUCAGGGAAGAAACGGUGAAAGCUAAUAUCUUUUGCUAAUGACGGUACCUGAAGAAUAAGCACCGGCUAACUACGUGCCAGCAGCCGCGGUAAUACGUAGGGUGCAAGCGUUAAUCGGAAUUACUGGGCGUAAAGCGUGCGCAGGCGGUUUUGUAAGUCUGAUGUGAAAUCCCCGGGCUCAAACUGGGAAUUGCAUUGGAGACUGCAAGGCUAGAAUCUGGCAGAGGGGGGUAGGAUUCCACGUGUAGCAGUGAAAUGCGUAGAUAUGUGGAGGAACACCGAUGGCGAAGGCAGCCCCCUGGGUCAAGAUUGACGCUCAUGCACGAAAGCGUGGGGAGCAAACAGGAUUAGAUACCCCAGUAGUCCCAUG